AUUGAACGCUGGCGGCAGGCCUAACACAUGCAAGUCGAACGAGUGGCGGACGGGUGAGUAAUGUAUGGGAAACUGCCCGAUGGAGGGGGAUAACUACUGGAAACGGUAGCUAAUACCGCAUACUAUCAGAUGCGCCCAGAUGGGAUUAGCUAGUAGGUGGGGUAAAGGCUCACCUAGGCGACGAUCCCUAGCUGGUCUGAGAGGAUGACCAGCCACACGGGGACUGAGACACUGUCCAGACUCCUACGUGAGGCAGCAGUGGGGAAUAUUGCACAAUGGGCGCAAGCCUGAUGCAGCCAUGCCGCGUGUAUGAAGAAGGCCUUCGGGUUGUAAAGUACUUUCAGCGGGGAGGCGUUACCCGAAGAAGAAGCACCGGCUAACUCCGUGCCAGCAGCCGCGGUAAUUC
rnacentral:rRNA from 1 species